rnacentral:lncRNA from 1 species
UUUGGGAGAAAAAGAUGACAGUGUUUACUACACCACAGGACCAUUUGAAAAAAAAAAAAAAAAAAAGAACCUGCGACCUUUGGGUUUCAAGUCCGACUCUCUAACCAGUCAUACCUUUAAUCAUGUUGUCAAAAACAAGACCGUUCUGUUGCAAGAUGAUUUUUCCACUUAAACUACAGCAGAUGUGAUAUUCAUGCUUAUAUGUGAAGUGGUUUUGAAAGUUGUCAAAUUCACUGAUUCUCUCUCUCUCUCUCUCGGCUGUAGAUAUGCUUUUGUAUGGUCCCGUCCCAACCCAUGAGGAUUUCAAACCUGUCGUUUGCAAUGCCUGCAACAAAGUCGUUGAGCCUCAGGACGUCCUGACUCAUUACGGUAGUUGGGGAAUAGUUGAACACUGAGUAGAGAGGACCGCGUCCACCUCGAGCCCUCCAGAGCCAUGCAUAGCAAGAACCAGAGGAGACACUGCUCACCCAGCAGCUCCAGGACCCCUCUAGUUCCUGUCAAGGCCAAGAUGUCGGUGGGCCAGAGUGAGGUGGAGCCCCUUCCCUUCCGGGUUCCUUGCGAUUACCCACACUCACGCUUCAGCAAGGCGCCGCUGGCCGUCUAUCCACCC